rnacentral:rRNA from 1 species
ACGGAAGGCAGCAGUGGGGAAUAUUGCACAAUGGGGGAAACCCUGAUGCAGCGACGCCGCGUGAAGGAAGAAGUAUCUCGGUAUGUAAACUUCUAUCAGCAGGGAAGAAAGUGACGGUACCUGACUAAGAAGCCCCGGCUAACUACGUGCCAGCAGCCGCGGUAAUACGUAGGGGGCAAGCGUUAUCCGGAUUUACUGGGUGUAAAGGGAGCGUAGACGGCAAGACAAGUCUGAAGUGAAAGGCAUGGGCUCAACCUGUGGACUGCUUUGGAAACUGCCUUGCUUGAGUGCCGGGGGGGUAAGCGGAAUUCCUAGUGUAGCGGUGAAAUGCGUAGAUAUUAGGAGGAACACCAGUGGCGAAGGCGGCUUACUGGACGGUAACUGACGUUGAGGCUCGAAAGCGUGGGGAGCAAACAGGAUUAGAUACCCUGGUA